CAGGGCCGCCAAGGCGGGGGAGGCCGAUCCGAGCAGCACUAACACGUCCUCUUCCUCCUUCAACUCCAAGGUCUCGGAUUUGACGAACAUCCUACCGAAGAGAGAAAGGGGAAAAAGGCAGUGAGGUGUAAGGAAAGAAACAGAGGCGCGAUCUUCGUGUCACAGGGGCGUGCUCCGGCGCGCACCCGAGAAGACCAGCUCCGAAUGGCGCGGAGCAGGAAGGCGAAGGAAGAAACCCAGGCAGUGCUAACCAAGGGGCACCGCACCCGGCGCUGCCGGCCCUCCUAACUCCCGGGUGAUGGGAACUAGGAAUUAGUUAAUGGGGGUCAGAAUCCCGGGGAAAGCAGUUAGCCCUGUGGUGCUGCCGGGCGUCUCUUGGCAAAGCCUCUUAGGGGUUGUAUCAAAUAGUAAACGAUUUUAAAAUGGAUUCAUUUGGUUAGGGGAGGAGAAUGGCGUGGAUGGAGAGAUGUGGACACCUCGUGAACAAGUGUGUUUGGGGGAGGUAACAAGGAGGAUUGGAAGGCACAAAGUAAAGAAAAUGAAAAUUAGAAACUUGUGAAAAGGAGCAUUACCCAUUGCAGUUCUUCAAACUUCAGACUUCCUUCUGUCUUGGAAUUACUUGAAAACUAUCAUGAUUUCCACUUUGCUCUUUGAUGUUUGUGUUUUCAUAUUCUCCCUUUUUAAAGCAAAUUCCCAAAAUAUAAAAGCAUCAUUUGCCAGUUUCCUCCUCGACUAUUUUAGAACAGCUAAAUUUCAUGUGUUAGAAGUGCAGAAAUGAAAAUGAAAGAAGAAAAGAGAGACACUUUCAAUGUUUCUAGCACACAACACCUGCCUCUCACAUAUCUUUGGGUUUCUGUCUAUCAUGAACCUGCAGAAUCAGAACCUCAUAAAAAGUCUGACCAAGCAAAAAUUAUGCUAGAAGUGCUUACUCUGUCAAACAUUGGAAGGAAAUUUCAGUUCAGAGAUGUCUGAAGUGGGGCUCAGUGGUCAGCAGAAACCUGAUGACAGCAGAGUGGUCCAGCUUGUUUCUCCUGGGGGCGUUCUUCCGAGGAUAUUUGGGCUGCCUCCAGAAUCGCAGUGUCUUGGGCCGCCGCAAGGAUGACAACGAAGCAAGAAGGCCCCUGCCAAAUGCAGGUCCCCAGGUCUUAGACUUCUCAGCCUCCAGAACUAUAAGAAAUAAAUCUCUGUUCUCUAU
rnacentral:lncRNA from 1 species